AGAGUUUGAUCCUGGCUCAGGAUGAACGCUAGCUACAGGCUUAACACAUGCAAGUCGAACGGACUUACAUUGAAGCCUAGCGAUAUGUAAGUUAGUGGCGGACGGGUGAGUAACGCGUGGGUAACCUGCCUUGUACUGGGGGACAACAGUUGGAAACGACUGCUAAUACCGCAUAAGCGCACAGCUUCGCAUGAAGCAGUGUGAAAACUCCGGUGGUACAAGAUGGACCCGCGUCUGAUUAGCUGGUUGGUGAGGGUAACGGCCGACCAAGGCAACGAUCAGUAGCCGGCCUGAGAGGGUGAACGGCCACAUUGGGACUGAGACACGGCCCAACUCCUACGGAGGCA
rnacentral:rRNA from 1 species